CUCUCUCUGCUUCACUCACCACAUCUUUUUCUCAAAUUUUCUCUCUCUCUCUCUCUGCUUCUUUCUCUCUAAUUUUCUUUCCGAGACUCACUUCUCUUUCUCUACUUUUUUUCUCUCAAUCUCACAUCUCUUUCUCACACUCUUUUCACCGGUAUUUUUCUAAAGCUAUGAUUUUAUUAUAAUUUCCUUUUAAUUUCUUUCUUUAACUUUCUCAUCCUUGAAGUUGUCUCAUGGAUUCUAGGUUCUCAAGUAUGAUUUCUCAUUAUAAUUUAUUUCAAACUUUUUUGAUAUUAUUUUCGGUAUGCAUGUUACUUUUGUGUUAUUUAUAACAUUUUUAGUAGAACAAACUUAUGUUUUGUUUUUUAGUUCAAUAUUUACUAAUAAUAUGUCAUUUUUAUCUAAGAAGUUAACAUAUUUUUCAGUAUUUUUGCUUCAUGAACCUUAUUUUUUGGUAUGAUUUCUCAUUACAACUUAUUUGGAAUUUAUUUUUGUUAUUUUAUGUAUGGAUGCUCACUAUCUAAUCCAUUGAAUCUUCUGAUUCUCCCUAAUCAGGUACAUUUUAUGAGCAAGUUAACAUUUUUUGGACAUUUUUGGUUGAUGAAGCUUAUUUAAUGCAUUUAAAGUUGAAGAUAACAUUUUUCCUCCAUUUUAAUGUUUGCAUGUUUAAAAUGGGUGCAUCAAAGAGCAAGAAAAAUUGUAUUUUUCAAAUUGAAGAAGUAGUAGUCCAUCCUCCAAUCGCCACACGCCAGUGCUAUCAUCACUGGCACUAUCACCGAGCCGUCACAACACUCAAGUUAGUCAUUUUGAUAUAACUAUCUUAUCAUUUUAGAAAAAUGAUUUAUCACUUUUAAAAUUAACCCAUAAUUUUAAAUUAUAUAUUUUGUAAUAGUGUCAUUUUAUUAGUCAUUUUGAUAUAACUAUUUUAUCAUUUUAGAAAAAAUGAUUUAUCUCUUAUAAAAUCAAUUUAGUUUACUCUUUCUAUUGGUAUCAGUCAUUAUAUUUGUUUUAUUUAUAAAAUUUGCAACUUUGUUUCAUGUGGUUGCACAUGAAGUUAAAUAUAAAUGAUGAACAUAAAAGAGAAUUAUAUGGAUUUAUUCAGGCAUUGGACUUACUAUUUUUAAUUUAAGGCUUCAUGAGUUCUUUUUUUUACAAGUAAUAGUAUUUGAUACAAUUUAGCUUACUCUUUCUGUAAAAAAACAAAUGUUUAUAAAUGUUACUUUUUAGUUUUAUUUGAGCAAAGUAUAAUGAUGUUCCCAGUUGAUUUUUUUAUGGGAUUCUACAGUUUAUCCUCUUUUCAUUGACAAUAUUUGUCACUUCUUUCUUUUUCACGGGAAGGUGUGAAAAGUAGAUACAUGUAUAUAAAUAUUUCAACAAUUUAACUUGCUUCAACUUUGCAUGCAUCUCUAUAAUUCAUUAUAGUGGCAACUGCUGUUACUGUUUCGUUUUUCCCUUUAUAUGUCCCAUAAUUUGUUUUUUAUUACUAAUUUUGUUAUAACUAUCUUAUCAUUUUAGAUAAAAAUGAUUUAUCUCUUAUAAAAUCAACUCAUAACUUUAAAAGAUGAGAAAUUAUAUUUUUGUUUGUUCUAUUAUCAUUUUGUCAUUCUAUUUACUACAAGAUUGUUUCUCAUUUGUAUUUUUAGAUUAGAUUAGUAGGAAAGUCGUAUAGCAUAAAAAAAACCAAAACAAAAAGAGGAGUCAAUAACAAUAGUGUAUGGUAAAAUUUUCACUUUAGUGAUGUCUAGAAUCCUGCAAAAUUAAUAGUUUGAGAUACCAUUCAUAUAUUAGACACACAUAACUUGACAACUAUUAUUUAUGAGGACAUUUUGGUCUUUUUGAUAUAUUAUUUCUCUGAUACAUUUUAAACAGUGUUUCAUUUAUAGUAACUAUACUUCUUCUCUGUCAUUAUUACAGUGCCACCAUUUUUUUUAAAAUUCCAGCAUGUCACAUAUUGUGACAUAUCUUUCAGGCUUCAAUCACAUGAACAAUGACUUUUCACUUCUCUUUGUAAUAUCUUUCUUCUAUUAUCUAAAGUGUAAAUAUGGUUUUGCUUCCUUAUGUAUGUUAUUUCAUGAUGGUAUUAAUAUUUCUAAACUUACCAAACAAAAUUAGUUUAGUUUGUUUGAGUUUAUUUAGUUUGAAUAUGCACUUUCAAUUUUUAUUUUGUUAGGUGAUCUGAAUUUAGUAAGUGUUUAUUAUAAACUUUGGUCGAGAGAUUAUAAUAUGUGAGAUUAUAAAUAUAUAAAAAAUCAACCAAGUAAUCUUAAAUACAUUGUUUUUGUUUAUUUGUCUUGAUUUAUAUGUUUUUUAUAAAAUAAUCCGAUUACCCAAAUAAAAUUAAUUUAUAAAAAAACUUAUAAACUAAAAUAUUCUCAAUCAAACAAAUUGUAUCACAAGUAUAUCUAUUGUUAUUGUUCUAUAUCUAAAAUUGUUAUUAUAAUAAUAGAAAUAGCACUUUGGCAUAAGAGAAAGGAAAAACGAUAGGAUCCAAUUGAUUGUAAUGAUCUCAAGUCAAUGAAAUUUAUUCGUUUGGUAUGAAGUUUAUCAUUUUGAAUAUUAAAUGUAUUUAGUUUGGAUUUCAAUUAUUAAAUAAAGCUAAGUAGAAUAUUUUAUCAAAAUUUAUGUGCUCAUAUUUGUCUUAUUUUUGCUGGUGAUUUUUUAGACCUCUAGAUUAGCUACAAUAGUGAAGUGAAUGGAGUUAUAAGAAAAACAACUACUCAUGACAUAGAACUAAAUGAUGGGUUUUACUUUUUCUGAGGGCUAUUCAUGAGUCUACCCUAUAGUAUUUAGUUUAUGGAUUCAAGAAGUUGUUUUUAAAUUUUUGGCUUCAUUCAGUCACUUCUACUGCACUCAUAAAGUAGUAAACAUAAUAGAAA
rnacentral:lncRNA from 1 species